GCGGUGUCAAUGGCUGCACGAAAAAACCGGCAAAAUCACAACAAAAAAUGUGGAAAACAAGAAUGUCUAAUCGUGUCUCGUGUCUCGCCGUACAAGUCGUCUGUGAUAAAAAUUGUUUAUGAAACAUGAUGCUUUUAUACAAGAUUUGAUAUUGAGCUAAUACAAACACCAUCUACGUUAGCAACUAAGGCCAGGUUUGCUUGUGUCUGUAUCAGCCUAUCAGCAGCUGCCUCAGAACCCUCAGUCGGGUGAACCCCAUUAUUUGAUGUUGUGUCCACCGGUGUCGGCCAUUUCUUCCUCACCUUUCUUUACAUUCUCGUGUACGUUCAUGUGAGUGUGAACGUAUUCAC